rnacentral:lncRNA from 1 species
AUGCAACAUAUUCGUGAAUUCUAGUGCAAACAACCUAAUAUAUCACAUGGCAUUCGUGAUGCAUGAACAUGCUCUAAAUUUAUUUGCUUUGAAACGUAAAGAUCCAUUCUACUCACCUCAGGCUAACUCUGAAAAGACAUUGAAGCAGCUAUCUCACUGCUGGGGUCCUCGGUUUCUCGGGUCCGAACCUACACAGGUGGACUCAAAUGAGGGACCAAACAUACAUGAACAUGACUCUAAACUAUUCCCCAAA